rnacentral:rRNA from 1 species
AACGCGAAGAACCUUACCUGGUCUUGACAUCCACAGAACCUUGUAGAGAUACGAGGGUGCCUUCGGGAACUGUGAGACAGGUGCUGCAUGGCUGUCGUCAGCUCGUGUUGUGAAAUGUUGGGUUAAGUCCCGCAACGAGCGCAACCCUUAUCCUUUGUUGCCAGCGGUCCGGCCGGGAACUCAAAGGAGACUGCCAGUGAUAAACUGGAGGAAGGUGGGGAUGACGUCAAGUCAUCAUGGCCCUUACGACCAGGGCUACACACGUGCUACAAUGGCGCAUACAAAGAGAAGCGACCUCGCGAGAGCAAGCGGACCUCAUAAAGUGCGUCGUAGUCCGGAUUGGAGUCUGCAACUCGACUCCAUGAAGUCAGAAUCGCUAGUAAUCGUGGAUCAGAAUGCCACGGUGAAUACGUUCCCGGGUCUUGUACACACGC